ensembl:lncRNA
CAGGCUGCAGGUCUCUGUGUAAGGCGGCAGAUGUAGACGUGUAGACUGCAGACGUGCUAGUGGUUAGUAUAAAUCACAGUUGGAAAACGGAGCCAGCAAGUUACAGCACCUCGUUUUCUCUGUAAGAUGUCAGAUUUUACUCAACACAGUCACAAGAAAAGAAGAAAAAGUUUUGCCAUAUAGCUGUGUAUUUCUAACUCUGUGACAAAACUCAAGAUACAGCCCAAAUGAAAAUGAGAUCCCCCUGCUGUGAGGAUGUCGGUGAAGAAUAAUGUUCUUGUCAGUGAUGAUUCCCCUCCCCCGAAAAUAUACAGGACUGCGACGCAAGCCAGGUCAGUGGUCGAAAGCAUGCUGAUCUGACCAAGACAGAACUCUCCCAUCAGGGCUGUCAGUUAACCCCUCGUCAUAAAGUAAUUGCCUAAUCAUCUGCUUUCCAUACUUGAACCUUUAAAAGAUACCAGUUUUAAAAUUAUUUAUAUUUAAAUGUGCCCACCCUGCUGCCCUUAUAUAUUGAUGGAAGCUUUGCGUAAGGAAGCUGUUACGUUGUUGUGACUUUGCUGUCCUAAGCAGUUAUUUCUAAAAAACUGAAAGUAGCAGCUACCUCUUAGUCCGCUGCUCUGCUGAGAACGUGUGUUCCUCACUUCCUUAUCGUUUCUACAGCCAGUCAAGGAUUCGAAUGUUUCCAUCUCAGCUUUACUUAAUGCCAUCUUUCCAACUGUGCUUUAAAUGUAAUGUAUACAUAAUAAUAUCUUGUAACAGUUUUGAGAAAGUCUUACUGCAAGAAUCAUUGCAAGUUUCCAUUGAAAUGAGGCGUGGCUUCUGAGUACCGUUCAUCCUGUUGGAUAUUACUUGGGUAGUGUUAGCAAGUGCCCACGAAUCAGACUUAAAAAACAACUUACAGUCGGCCUUCCGUAUCUGCGGGUUCCAUGCCCACCAAUUCAGCAAAGCAUGGGUCAAAGAUAUAAAAAAAAAAAAAUUCCAGAAAGUUCCAGAAAGGAGAACUUGAAUUUGCCAUGCGCUCGCAACUAUUUGCAUAACAUUUAUAUUGAAUUAGGUAUCAUAAGUAAUCUAGAGAUGAUUUAAAGUAUAUGGGAGGAUGUGUGGAAGUUAUAUGCAAAUGCUACGUCAUUUUAUGUAAGGGACUUGAGCAUCCUCGGGUUUUGGUAGUCCUGGGGGUCCUGGAAUGGAUCCCCUGCAGACACUGAGGGGCGACUGUGUUUUAUAUUCUAGGUCCAACCUUAGAGUUCAGAUGGAACUUUUUUUUUUAAAGCUUGAUGUAAGCUCUGGGAUAAUACCAAGUAUUACCAACUUCCUUUUCUUCCAAAACAGGUUUCUUCUAAGUGCAGUUAGUUGUUCACAUGUCUUUCUACUUCUUUGUUCUUUAUAUCACUCUGAAGUUUCCUUUUUCUUGCCAGAACUAUUUUUUAUUAAUUUUACUUUUUAAUUUCAGUGCUACUGAGAUUUUCUUUUUUUACCUUAAAGAAAUUCUUUUGGGUGAUAGAAUUUGUAGCGUUUUCAUGCUAAAUUUUUUUUCCUAUCUAAAAAUGAAUUUCUGUUAAGAUCUGAAUGAGCCUCAUUCAGUGUAACAUGGAUAUUUUCUGGGGGGUUUUUCAGAGGGGUUUUGGUUGCCAUUUGGCAUGUGCUUGGCCAAAUUGUUAUAGCAGAGCUUUGUUUUUGAUUAAUCAGCAGUUAAUUAUUGAUCAUUUAAACAACAUGACUUUCAUUUUCCUUUCCUCAGACAGAAUGCUUUCUCUCCAGGUCAUUUUGUAUGUGUGAAAUAAUAAACUGCGUGGUUUUUUUUCAUCAGAGAUUCUAGAAUAAGUUUGAGUUUGGUGUGAACAUCAAUUGGUCUUUUCAGUUCAAAGAACUGCAGAAUAAGUAAAAUAAUCAGAAUUCCCACUGAAUAAGCAUUACCUAAUUAAACAUAGCGAUCUCCAAGACCUAUUUGUGAAAAUAGUUUCCUUUUUUAUGGUGGCAUUGAAAUUGCUGAGAAAGUAACUGAAUUCCCUACCUUGAGAUAAUUAAGAUACAGUAUUAUCUUGCUCUGGUAUAGUUGAUCUUACGUGUUUAAUAUUUUCCACGUAUAUACAUUUCAAGAGCAAAGCUAUAAACAUAUAGGAAUGUAUCUCUAGCGACCUGCGCUGGAGAGAGUCACCUUGCCUAAGAGCCAGUGUGUGAAAACCGAUUUCAAGUUAAAUUUCAGAUUUCAGCUGUUGUUAUUAAGGAAAUUAAAUUUACUGAAAUCGCCAUUUUAAGAAGAGACACCUGCUAUCCUUAGAAUUGUUUCCUACUGGAGCUGUUUGUAAAAAGAGAACCCAGAAAAAGCCUAUAAAAAUACAAGAUUAAAACUUUAAAUGUAUUGCAAGAUACAAAUUGCUAUCUUAAAUGUUACUUAGGCGCUCUGGUGUUUCUUCUAGCUCCACAAAGGUAGUACUUUGUCUUUUAUGAUUUACCGACGUCGUUUCUUGCUAACCAUCCCUUUAACUAUUGAGAAACCCUCAAUUUCUACCACCACCCUCAUGUGCGCUCCUAAAUCUCAAAGUAUAUGUCUUAAUGGAUCUGAUGUUCACUCCGCUUUUUGCCACCUGACCCACACAGUAUUGAGCAAUUAGAAAUAACGGAUAAUGUUCUAACCAUGAUUUCUUGUUCAGAAUAUCAGCUAGUGAUGUCCGCCACAUUGGUAUAACGGUAACAGGAAGGAGCAAGCGGCACGUUAGUCUUCAGAGGGCUCGUUACGUUAGGUUUCUCGAGUUCUCCAUCUGCUUGGGGUUGGGUAUUUAUGGGCUGAGGCUUCCCUGUGAAGCUGCUAAAUUCACACUACUCCCAUACCUGUUUAAGUAGCAAUUUGAAGACCAUUGUUGUAAGGAGUGAAUCAAUCUUACUGGCAUUUAACAUUCUCUUAAAGCACAUUCAGGAAGUGGCAUUGUUAUUACUUUAAAUUAGAAUAUGAGAUUAAGCAGAUCACAAAAAAUUUUAAUGUAACAUUUAAAUUUUUUGAAAUGUUUGAAAAUAUCUACUUUGGAAUAAACCUUAAGGAAACAGUCACAGGAGCUUCUAAAUGUUUUUGAAGGGAGGUACCUAACAGAAAAGAAUAUAGGCUUAGUAAUGUGAACUGUGGUUAAAUCCUAAACCCAGUUAUACAGUAUUAGUCUAAAGCUUCUAAAACUGGAGUGUUAAGAAAAUCCAGAGACAUUCAUAUACUUACAGUUUCAGUAAUGUAUUAGACCAGACUUUAUUUGCAAUUUGUUCAACAGAGAGAUUUUAUUUUGAUACGAAUAUUAAGCAUAAAGCAUAGUAAGUUUUAUAUAAUUCUAUAAGUUCAUUAAACAGUAUUACGGAAUUUUCAUUAUAUUCUUUGGGAGUCUUUUUAGCUGUUUCUACAUCUCAUAUAUGAGGUGUCUUCUGUGUUUUAUUUUGCAUACUAGCAUGUGACUGCCUGCCUUAGAACUAUGUAUAGGAGGGGAAACCGAUAUUACUUAAAAUUUUUGUUUUGAUGUUUUGAAAUGAAUUUCAUCAUUAGUUCUUUUUUUCUUUUUUUUUUUUUUUUUUUGAUGUUUGAGCAGUUGAGGGGAAGGGGCAAAUUCCAUAGGUUUCAACCCAGAAUAGAAGGAGUAUCUGUUUACAGAUAUGUCCUGUUUUAAGAUAUGGACAUUUUAAGCAGGAUAGAGCUAGCGGAUCUCCAACUUUAGCCAGCGUCAGCAUUAGCUGGAGGCCUUAUUAAAGUACAGGCCGCUGGACCUGCCCCACAGUUUCUGAUGCCAGGCCGGAGCCUGAUCAUCUGCGUUUCCAGCAAGUUCCCAGGCAGCACUGACGUUGCUGGUCCAGGCACCGCACUUUGAGAACCACGGGUCUAGAGGAAGUCUGAGGGUCUCUUCAGCCACGCAUUUAUUUACUCAGUGUACAAAACUGAUCUCUUGAGACAUUUUUAUAAUUCUGAUGCCGCGACGGGGACAUUCAUGGAGAAAGACCUCCGUGGAGUGCCGGGCCCUCUGGGGGGCGGCCACCCCUCCCCCCGCCCCUCAGCGCUCACCCCGUCUGAGGUCUGUGCUGCUCUUCCCCGUGACGGGGCGGGAGCUCUCGCAUUUGGAGGGUGAGUUUGGUUUUGUGUGCACUGCAGCCUGGGCUUUGGUCUGGAAGCUGUGCGUUUGUUUGGAGCGCUUAGAGUCAGUCUUGAUGCUCCACACACGCGGAGGUGAGGAUUGUGGAAGGGAGCCAUCCGACUGUCCCGAGAAUGCAGUUCGCGUUUAUUGAGGCCCCAGGUGCCGGAGGCCCCGUCCUAAGAUGGCAGUGACCUGAAGCAUGGAAAACGAUAGAUAAACCCCAAAUGGUGUAGUCGUAGUUUUUAUGUUUUGGGGGAUGAGGGAGGUGAGGGCAAAGGAUUUGCUUUUCAAAUUAUGUGUUUCUCAGGUUAACAAAGUUAAUUUGGAUUCUCUGCCAUGCCGGUAGGUGUUAGGGGCGCCUGAAUUGUUGUAUGUGGCAGAAAAUUGAUAAUUGUCUCUGAUUACUUUGCUACCUUAAAAAAAAAUCUAUAUAUGUUUGCACAAAAAAAGUCUAGAGGUAUCUACCACCUACACAGCAUGAGUUAUUCAUAAACCAUAGGUGCACAUGUAUGAGCAAGUUAUUUUUGAGAAAGAAACUGCCUACAAUACAAUAAACCUACAGGUCUUUGGGUAUUUUAAAAUUCACGUGCUGUUGUUGUUAAUAUUCCCCCUGGAGUGCAGCUUGAGGGGUAUUGGUCUCUGCCUCUGGUUUUUUGUUUGGCUUUGAAUUUACCGAGAUCCUAGAAAGAGAAGAAAUAAUUUUUAAGGUAAUAGAUUAUAGGAUGACUUAGAUGUAGACCGUAUGAUAAGCAUCAUAGGACACACAGCUUUGGAAUUCUUAAAACACAGUACUUCUUCCUUGAAAGGCAAGGUAACCUCUGGUGGGAUUGUUUGUAUGUUCAGCACACGUUACUUUAUCCAAUUCCAACUCAUAGGGAGCUUCAGUUUAUUUAUUCUUUGCACGAUGCCUUGGAAGUGAAGACCUCUGUGUCUUUCAGCUGCUCAGAGGGCUCUUUUGUCCAGGAUGAAGUGCUGAUGAGUCAGUUACACCUGAAUGUUUCUCAGCCCCCCCCCCCCCAUACAGAGCAGGAGUCUUGGAAUUUUACAUGUCCAGACCAUGCCUACUUCCUGUAAACCCAUGUGUAUGACAUUGUACUGUAUCCGCUUUCUGUGCCAGUCAUCCCACCUGAUUCUUUGAAACCCAUGAAGGUACUGGUUAAGUGUAGUAGUUGUAUCCUAGGUAAAUCCAGUGAUUAAAAUACCUCUCCUCUCAAUUCUAAAGGUAAUGGGUUUUGCAUCUUAUUAAAGGGUUCUGUCAUGAGCGACACAGGUUUUCUUUUUGUUUCUGUUUUUGUUUUUUUAAUGCUUCAAGAAUACAGUUCUUACCUAAACGCGUUCAGCCAACUUCAUACAAUCACGUGGCAAAUUCAUACUGGGUCUUAUUUGGGCAAAAGCCUCCCAAAGGAAGGUUACAUAAAACUGAUCAGUUUCCAUCUCUUAAAAGUACCAGUUGUACAGCCAUCUAAUAAUCAUAAUUUCUGGCAAAAUUAUUAUUUUUUCUUUGCAGUUAACGAUACCUCAUCUGAGAGUUCUAAUACCUAAAGAGUUUAUGCUUAAAAGUAAAAAUGACUUUGUACCAUAAAAUAACCCCAAAGCCACUCUCUAGGGUUUUUAUUUUCUUCCUUUUUUGUCAUUUUCUUUUUUAACUUAGUUUUAGAAUUACUUUAGUCGCUUUGGUUCCUUAGAACAAGUUUUCAAUUUGGAGGUCUCUAAUUCCUACAUUGUGACCAUUGUCUCAGUGAAGUUCUUUUGUUUUAAAAGAUUCAUGGUAACACAAAAUGUAUUUUACUGCUACAACUAAAAUGUAUUUAUAAUAAAAUGCCUUUUU